AAACUGUGCAAAUCACCAGUUCAAAGGCUGUGGAUGAACAUUUCACCUGUGAGUAUGAUUGAAAUGAGAAGUAAUGAACAAUAAUUUGAUGAGUUCUCUCCCUUAUUCCAGUAUACAGCAAAUAAUAAUAAUAAGUGGCUUAUUAACUCAACAUGUGUAGCCACCUGUUGUAUUGUGUGUUGGACGCACUAUUUUAAGACAUUUAUUAGGUCUACUUGUGCAUAGUUUUGGCGCUUUAGGCGUUGUUGCUACAAGCUUUUUUACUGACGUUAGGCUGAAGCUCAUAGAGCUGUGUAUAA